rnacentral:rRNA from 1 species
UACGGGGGGGGCAAGUGUUGUUCGGAAUUACUGGGCGUAAAGGGCUCGUAGGCGGCCAACUAAGUCAGACGUGAAAUCCCUCGGCUUAACCGGGGAACUGCGUCUGAUACUGGAUGGCUUGAGUUUGGGAGAGGGAUGCGGAAUUCCAGGUGUAGCGGUGAAAUGCGUAGAUAUCUGGAGGAACACCGGUGGCGAAGGCGGCAUCCUGGACCAACACUGACGCUGAGUGAGCGAAAGCCAGGGGAGCAAACGGG